UUUAGCUUGCUAGAAGAAAGUAAGUGGCGCACGGGUGAGUUACGCGUGGGUAAUCUGCCUCCGAAUCGGGGAUAACAUUGCGAAAGCGAUGCUAAUACCGGAUAAAAUCUGGUUGGCUUCGGUGAACCGGAUCAAAGGUGGUCUCUUUUAAAAAGCUACCGUUUGGAGAUGAGCUCGCGUACCAUUAGCUUGUUGGUGGGGUAAAGGCUCACCAAGGCGACGAUGGUUAGCUGGUCUGAGAGGAUGAUCAGCCACACCGGAACUGGAACACGGUCCGGACUCCUACGGGAGGCAGCAGUGAGGAAUUUUGCGCAAUGGGGGAAACCCUGACGCAGCAACGCCGCGUGAGUGAUGAAGGCUUUCGGGUCGUAAAGCUCUGUCAGGUGGGAAGAACCCACCAGGUGUAAACAUCACCUGGUGCUGACGGUACCACCGAAGGAAGCACCGGCUAACUCCGUGCCAGCAGCCGCGGUAAUACGGGGGGUGCGAGCGUUAUUCGGAAUCAUUGGGCGUAAAGGGCGCGCAGGCGGUUUUGUAAGUCAGAUGUGAAAUCCCGGGGCUUAACCCCGGAAGUGCAUAUGAAACUAUGAGACUUGAGUAUGGGAGAGGGAAGCGGAAUUCCUGGUGUAGCGGUGAAAUGCGUAGAUAUCAGGAGGAACACCGGUGGCGAAGGCGGCUUCCUGGACCAAUACUGACGCUGAGGCG
rnacentral:rRNA from 1 species